rnacentral:rRNA from 1 species
AGCAGCCGCGGUAAUUCCAGCUCCAAUAGCGUAUAUUAAAGUUGUUGCAGUUAAAAGCUGUAGUUGAAUUUCGGGUAUGUCAGUAUGCUGCGUGCUUGUGUACUGGCUCUAUCGUGUUCCUCAUCCUUUCUGGAAAUCGUCAGGAUCGGUACAUUUGCAAUUUUUAAUUUGGGGGUUGUUGCUGGGGAAAUUUCAGGGACUGUUACUUUGAAAAAUUAGAGUGUUAAAGCAGCUAGGCUUGAAUACAUUA